AGUAAGGUCAGCUAAAUCAAGCUUU
rnacentral:tRNA from 1 species